GACAGAGGGUGCAAACGUUGUUCGGAAUUACUGGGCGUAAAGCGCGUGUAGGCGGCCCUGUAAGUCGGGUGUGAAAUCCCACGGCUCAACCGUGGAAGUGCAUUCGAAACUACAGGGCUAGAGUUCUGGAGAGGAAGGUGGAAUGCUUGGUGUAGAGGUGAAAUUCGUAGAUAUCAAGCGGAACACCGGUGGCGAAGGCGGCCUUCUGGACAGUAACUGACGCUGAGACGCGAAAGCGUGGGUAGCAAACAGG
rnacentral:rRNA from 1 species